ACAGUGGACGCGAGCAUCUGUGGCCAAGUUUUUAAGGGCGCACGGUGGAUGCCUUGGCACCAGGAACCGAUGAAGGACGUGGGAGGCCACGAUAGGCCCCGGGGAGCUGUCAACCGAGCUUUGAUCCGGGGGUGUCCGAAUGGGGAAACCCGGCAGUCGUCAUGGGCUGUCACCCGCUGCUGAACACAUAGGCAGUGUGGAGGGAACGCGGGGAAGUGAAACAUCUCAGUACCCGCAGGAAGAGAAAACAACCGUGAUUCCGGGAGUAGUGGCGAGCGAAACUGGAUGAGGCCAAACCAGUCACGUGUGAUACCCGGCAGGGGUUGCGUGGUUGGGGUUGUGGGAUCUCUCUUUUGCAGUCUGCCGGCUGUGAGGCGAGUCAGAAACCGUUGAUGUAGGCGAAGGACAUGCGAAAGGUCCGGCGUAGAGGGUAAGACCCCCGUAGCUGAAACAUUAGCGGCUCGUUUGAGAGACACCCAAGUAGCACGGGGCCCGAGAAAUCCCGUGUGAAUCUGGCGGGACCACCCGUUAAGCCUAAAUAUUCCCUGGUGACCGAUAGCGGAUAGUACCGUGAGGGAAUGGUGAAAAGUACCGCGGGAGCGGAGUGAAAUAGUACCUGAAACCGUGUGCCUACAAGCCGUGGGAGCGUCGCUGGUGAGUUUACUCAUCAGUCGUGACUGCGUGCCUUUUGAAGAAUGAGCCUGCGAGUUUGCGGUAUGUUGCGAGGUUAACCCGUGUGGGGAAGCCGUAGCGAAAGCGAGUCCGAAUAGGGCGUGGAGUAGCAUGCUCAAGACCCGAAGCGGAGUGAUCUAGCCAUGGGCAGGUUGAAGCGGAGGUAAGACUUCGUGGAGGACCGAACCCACCAGGGUUGAAAACCUGGGGGAUGACCUGUGGUUAGGGGUGAAAGGCCAAUCAAACUCCGUGAUAGCUGGUUCUCCCCGAAAUGCAUUUAGGUGCAGCGUCGUGUGUUUCUUGCCGGAGGUAGAGCACUGGAUAGGCGAUGGGCCCUACCGGGUUACUGACCUUAGCCAAACUCCGAAUGCCGGUAAGUGAGAGCGCGGCAGUGAGACUGUGGGGGAUAAGCUCCAUGGUCGAGAGGGAAACAGCCCAGAGCAUCGACUAAGGCCCCUAAGCGUGUGCUAAGUGGGAAAGGAUGUGGAGUCGCAGAGACAACCAGGAGGUUGGCUUAGAAGCAGCCACCCUUGAAAGAGUGCGUAAUAGCUCACUGGUCAAGUGAUUCCGCGCCGACAAUGUAGCGGGGCUCAAGUACACCGCCGAAGUCGUGUCAUUGCGAUAUUACUCCUAACGGGGAUCGUGAUGGGUAGGGGAGCGUCGUGUGCCGGGUGAAGCAGCCGUGGAAACGAGUUGUGGACGGUUCACGAGUGAGAAUGCAGGCAUGAGUAGCGAUACAAGAGUGGGAAACUCUUGCGCCGAUUGACUAAGGGUUCCUGGGUCAAGCUGAUCUGCCCAGGGUAAGUCGGGACCUAAGGCGAGGCCGACAGGCGUAGUCGAUGGACAACCGGUUGAUAUUCCGGUACCCGCUUUGAAGCGCCCAAUACUGAAUCAGGCGAUGCUAAGUCCGUGAAGCCGCCCUGGAGCCUUCGGGCAAAGGGGAGUGGUGGAGCCGACGGACCAGACUUGUAGUAGGUAAGCGAUGGGGUGACGCAGGAAGGUAGUCCAGCCCGGGCGGUGGUUGUCCCGGGGUAAGGGUGUAGGCCGUGUGGUAGGUAAAUCCGUCGCACGUUAAGGCUGAGACCUGAUGCCGAGCCGAUUGUGGUGAAGUGGAUGAUCCUAUGCUGUCGAGAAAAGCCUCUAGUGAGUUUCAAGGCGGCCCGUACCCUAAACCGACUCAGGUGGUCAGGUAGAGAAUACCGAGGCGUUCGGGUGAACUAUGGUUAAGGAACUCGGCAAAAUGCCCCCGUAACUUCGGGAGAAGGGGGGCCAUUUCUGGUGAGGGAACUUGCUUCCUGAGCUGGGGGUGGCCGCAGAGACCAGCGAGAAGCGACUGUUUACUAAAAACACAGGUCCGUGCGAAGCCGUAAGGCGAUGUAUACGGACUGACGCCUGCCCGGUGCUGGAACGUUAAGGGGACCGGUUAGCUUGGAUUCGUUCAGGCGAAGCUGAGAACUUAAGCGCCAGUAAACGGCGGUGGUAACUAUAACCAUCCUAAGGUAGCGAAAUUCCUUGUCGGGUAAGUUCCGACCUGCACGAAUGGCGUAACGACUUCUCGACUGUCUCAACCAUAGGCCCGGUGAAAUUGCAUUACGAGUAAAGAUGCUCGUUUCGCGCAGCAGGACGGAAAGACCCCGGGACCUUUACUAUAGCUUGAUAUUGGUGUUCGGUUCGGCUUGUGUAGGAUAGGUGGGAGACUAAAGGGAGUGGUGGAGCCGACGGACCAGACUUGUAGUAGGUAAGCGAUGGGGUGACGCAGGAAGGUAGUCCAGCCCGGGCGGUGGUUGUCCCGGGGUAAGGGUGUAGGCCGUGUGGUAGGUAAAUCCGUCGCACGUUAAGGCUGAGACCUGAUGCCGAGCCGAUUGUGGUGAAGUGGAUGAUCCUAUGCUGUCGAGAAAAGCCUCUAGUGAGUUUCAAGGCGGCCCGUACCCUAAACCGACUCAGGUGGUCAGGUAGAGAAUACCGAGGCGUUCGGGUGAACUAUGGUUAAGGAACUCGGCAAAAUGCCCCCGUAACUUCGGGAGAAGGGGGGCCAUUUCUGGUGAGGGAACUUGCUUCCUGAGCUGGGGGUGGCCGCAGAGACCAGCGAGAAGCGACUGUUUACUAAAAACACAGGUCCGUGCGAAGCCGUAAGGCGAUGUAUACGGACUGACGCCUGCCCGGUGCUGGAACGUUAAGGGGACCGGUUAGCUUGGAUUCGUUCAGGCGAAGCUGAGAACUUAAGCGCCAGUAAACGGCGGUGGUAACUAUAACCAUCCUAAGGUAGCGAAAUUCCUUGUCGGGUAAGUUCCGACCUGCACGAAUGGCGUAACGACUUCUCGACUGUCUCAACCAUAGGCCCGGUGAAAUUGCAUUACGAGUAAAGAUGCUCGUUUCGCGCAGCAGGACGGAAAGACCCCGGGACCUUUACUAUAGCUUGAUAUUGGUGUUCGGUUCGGCUUGUGUAGGAUAGGUGGGAGACUGUGAAGCGCCAACGCCAGUUGGUGUGGAGUCGUUGUUGAAAUACCACUCUGGUCGUGCUGGAUGUCUAACCUGGGUCCGUGAUCCGGAUCAGGGACAGUGUCUGGUGGGUAGUUUAACUGGGGCGGUUGCCUCCUAAAGAGUAACGGAGGCGCCCAAAGGUUCCCUCAGCCUGGUUGGUAAUCAGGUGUUGAGUGUAAGUGCACAAGGGAGCUUGACUGUGAGACUGACGGGUCGAGCAGGUACGAAAGUAGGGACUAGUGAUCCGGCGGUGGCUUGUGGAAGCGCCGUCGCUCAACGGAUAAAAGGUACCCCGGGGAUAACAGGCUGAUCUUCCCCAAGAGUCCAUAUCGACGGGAUGGUUUGGCACCUCGAUGUCGGCUCGUCGCAUCCUGGGGCUGGAGUCGGUCCCAAGGGUUGGGCUGUUCGCCCAUUAAAGCGGUACGCGAGCUGGGUUUAGAACGUCGUGAGACAGUUCGGUCCCUAUCCGCUGUGCGCGUAGGAGUCUUGAGAAGGGCUGUCCCUAGUACGAGAGGACCGGGACGGACGAACCUCUGGUGUGCCAGUUGUUCUGCCAAGGGCAUGGCUGGUUGGCUACGUUCGGAAAGGAUAACCGCUGAAAGCAUCUAAGCGGGAAGCCUGCUUCGAGAUGAGGGCUCCCUCCUCCUUGAGAGGGUAAGGCUCCCAGUAGACGACUGGGUUGAUAGGCCAGAUAUGGAAGCACUGUAAGGUGUGGAGUUGACUGGUACUAAUAGGCCGAGGGCUUGUCCUCAGUUG
rnacentral:rRNA from 1 species